UACGUAGGGUGCAAGCGUUAAUCGGAAUUACUGGGCGUAAAGCGUGCGCAGGCGGCUUUGCAAGACAGAUGUGAAAUCCCCGGGCUUAACCUGGGAAGGGCAUUUGUGACUGCACGGCUAGAGUGUGUCAGAGGGGGGUAGAAUUCCACGUGUAGCAGUGAAAUGCGUAGAUAUGUGGAGGAAUACCGAUGGCGAAGGCAGCCCCCUGGGAUAACACUGACGCUCAUGCACGAAAGCGUGGGGAGCAAACAGG
rnacentral:rRNA from 1 species